AGCAAGCCACCCGCCUUGGCCUCCCAAAGUGCUGGGAUUACAGGCAUGAGCCACGCGCCUGGCUGGUUCUCUACUUUUAAGGACUCGUGUGAUUAGAUUGGACCCACCUGAACAACCCCGAGUAGUCCCCCCAUCUCAAAGUCUUUAACUGAGUCACAUCUGGAAAGGCCCUUUUGUUUGCCAUGUAAGGUCACCUAUUCACUAGUUCUGGGCAUUAGAAAGUGGACAUCUUUAGGAGGCCGCUAGCUUGCCACCCACAGGCAGAUUAGGCCAUGUGAUUUGCUGACCCUCUGCAGAUGUUACACUGAGGCAGUAAACCUUUUCCAGGUGACUCAUACCACCUGUGCACAUCAGGAGACAGUCAUGUGAACUACAGCUGUUGCCAGUGCCAGCUGGGCAUUGUGCAAAGCAGGACUUGAAUGUGUCCAUCACAUGCACUCUGUGGUCGAGCCAUCAGAUGCCCUGAGUAAUUAAUGUUCACAUGGCUUUGUGAAAUACAACUAUGUAGGCUAGCUCGUCAAGUGUUUUUACAAGAGCUGACGCCAGUGGAACCCACUCAGCUUGCUUUUCCUGUUCCAGCUUUUUCACGCACAGUCAGGACCCCCCUGGAACUUCAUCUACUGCCAGCUCCCCCAUUCCCCUCCCACGAGUGUGGGUGGCCCUCUUAGCCUCUGACCGCAUACUGGAACCUGCGGAGGCAGUGUUACCAGACCUGAGGUCUUCCUCUGCAUUUCAUUUGCUGUUCCCUGGCCUGCAAUGCCCCUUCCUUCCCACCUCCCCCGAGGGCCUAGCAGCCCCUCCUACACAGCCCUCUAGCCCCUCUGUGCUCAAAGUGCAUCUGAGGACAUCACCUGAGAGCUGUAGGAGAUGCAGGAUCUCAGGCCCCACCCCAAACCUACUGAAGCCAAAUCUGCUGUUUAACGUGAUCCCUGGAGAUUCAUAAGCAUGUUGUCUGUGCAGCACGGAGUGAGGGGCGGCUCCUCUUCGCUGCACCCCUUCCUGAUUACCCCUAGGCCCAGCCAAAUAAACUCUUCUUCCUGCUCCCUUGUGCCCCAUUUGGACUUCACUCGUAACAAGGGAGUAUAACUGGAUGGUAAAAGGGACUUUUCCUGUUAUCUAGACAUUUCAGCAGAGGCCUCAAAGGCAGAACAAAAUAGUGCAAGGAGCCGCACAUCCGCACAGUGCUGAGACCCUGCCCAGGACAAGCUUGGCCGCAGUAUUCCCUUUGGCACCCCCACCCACCUGGAACAAAGCCUGAUGUAAAGUCUGGGUGCGACUCAGACCGGCCUGGGAAAGAAUUUAUUUAAUAAAUGGUGGAAAGUGGCUUC
rnacentral:lncRNA from 1 species